rnacentral:rRNA from 1 species
CCUACGGGGGGCAGCAGUGAGGAAUAUUGGUCAAUGGACGAGAGUCUGAACCAGCCAAGUAGCGUGAAGGAUGACUGCCCUAUGGGUUGUAAACUUCUUUUAUAUGGGAAUAAAAUGUUCCACGUGUGGGUUUUUGUAUGUACCUUAUUAAUAAGGAUCGGCUAACUCCGUGCCAGCAGCCGCGGUAAUACGGAGGAUCCGAGCGUUAUCCGGAUUUAUUGGGGUUAAAGGGAGCGUAGGUGGAUUGUUAAGUCAGUUGUGAAAGUUUGCGGCUCAACCGUAAAAUUGCAGUUGAUACUGGCAGUCUUGAGUACAGUAGAGGUAGGCGGAAUUCGUGGUGUAGCGGUGAAAUGCUUAGAUAUCACGAAGAACUCCGAUUGCGAAGGCAGCUCACUGGACUGCAACUGACACUGAGGCUCGAAAGUGUGGGUAUCAAACAGGAUUAGAUACCCUGGUAGUC